ensembl:lncRNA
AUUAGUCAGGGUUCUACAGAGAAACGGAGCCAAUAGGAUAAACGUGCAUAGGAAGAGAUUCGUAAGGAGAUAUUUCAUGCGAUUCUGGAGGCUGAGAAGUCCCACGAUCUGUUGUCUGCCAGCCGGACACCCAGGAAUGCUGGCAGUGCAAGUUCCAAGACCUGAGGGCAGGGAUCCAACAGUGUGGACUCCAGUCACAGCCUGAAGCCCUGAGAACCUGGAGUACCAAUGGCCGGAGAAAAUGCACGUCUCCCCUGGAUCAGGCAGAGAGAAUCCAAACUCCCUCCACCUUUUUGUCCUAUUCAGGCUUCCACAGAUUGGACGAGGCCCACCCACCUUGGGGAGGGGCCACCUGCUGUGUUCAGUCCACCAGUGCAAACGCUAAGCUCUUCCAGAAACACCCUCACAGACACCCGGGAAGUCACGUACCCACUCUCUGGGUGCCCUGGGGCACAGGCAAGCUGACAAGCCGGUUACCCCUCAGAGCUCCUGCUGCCUCGCCUGCUUUCUCUCGGAAACGUGAAGUGUGGCCUCAGCUGAAAGUGAGGCUGCUCUCAUGGUGGUUCUAGAAGCUUCAUUUAAGCUAAGUGAUCCUUAUCAAGAAAAUAAAAAUGCAAUAGUUCAUUGUGGUAAGUAGCAUGCAUUUGAUUACUCUUGAAGCUACUGUUUUACAUGUUUUCUUUGGUAUUUUUUCCUUUUCCUUUGAUGAAUUACCAGCUAAUCCUCCUUGCCCGUUUUUCAAUUUGGGCUAUUGUUUUAUUUUCUUGGAGCUUUUUUUUUUUUUUUUUUUUUAAGAGCAGUUUAUGUAUAAAGGACAUUGUCACAUAUUGUGAUGAAAUUUUUGUUUUUGUUUUUUUUUUUCUCUGAAUUCUGUUAGUGUUAAUUUUCUAGUAAAAUUUAUUUAUUUAUUUUUACCUUUAUGCAGUUUGAGAUGCAAACUUUUCCUACAAAUGUAUUUGCUAUUCUUUCUAUUUUGCUCCUGAAGACUUUGCUUCCUUUGAGAUGAGGUCAGUAGUGUUUUAUGCUUUGUUCUAUUUAAGUUUCAUGAUUUUAUUUUAUUUUAUUUUAUUUUUGCUAUCAGAAUUUUAACCUUCUAGUAAUUUUGGUGUGCACUAUGAGUAAAGCUUGGAUUUCAUUUCUAUUGAAAUGUUUAAGCAUCAAAUUUUCCUUGCUGUUUAUCAAAUAAACCAUCUCCCUCCCUUGAAAUUCUACAUUUACUUAGUUCUGGGAGAUUUAUUCCUAUCUGUAUGCAUCCUUGUCCCACCCACCACUACUUUGUCACAAUUGUUUUGAAUGAUAAUAUAACCUCAUGUUUGACAUGGAAAUCUCUUUUCCGUUAUUCUCCAUCCCUACCCCCACUUUUUUUGGUUUUUUUUUUUCAGUAUCUAUUGGCUGUUCUUGGCAAUUUAUUUUUCCAGGUAAAUUUGAGUAAUCUUCUGUCAGGUUGUAGAAAUAGUCUGAUAAGAUUUUGAUUGAGAUUGUAUGAAAUUGGGAAGGGUGUGUCUGGGUGGGACCUGCAAGCUUUGCCGCAUCUGUGGAGCAUCAACGGCCUUCUGUGCUUGGUGUGGCUGCCGGAGGCAGCUGGGGCAAUGCAUGUCCCCUCUUCUCCCUUCUGAGACUAGCUAGGGUUCCCCUCCCAGCAGGCCCCUCCAUGUCAGUGUGAGUAGGUGCAAGCACGGCCUGGAGAGCCCCGGGCCCCUAAGCCUCCAGACCUUCUGUGGCUCCAUUCCAGGGGCAGAAGCUACCCUGUGGGCCCCUCCUGCCAUGGCCUGCUCGUGUCUCCUGGAUUUAGGGCGUGAGCAAGCAGGUGACCCGGGGCUUGUCUUCUUUCACAAACGUG